GACGAACGCUGGCGGCGUGCCUAAUACAUGCAAGUAGAACGCUGAAGAGAGGAGCUUGCUCUUCUUGGAUGAGUUGCGAACGGGUGAGUAACGCGUAGGUAACCUGCCUUGUAGCGGGGGAUAACUAUUGGAAACGAUAGCUAAUACCGCAUAACAAUGGAUGACACAUGUCAUUUAUUUGAAAGGGGCAAUUGCUCCACUACAAGAUGGACCUGCGUUGUAUUAGCUAGUAGGUGAGGUAACGGCUCACCUAGGCGACGAUACAUAGCCGACCUGAGAGGGUGAUCGGCCACACUGGGACUGAGACACGGCCCAGACUCCUACGGGAGGCAGCAGUAGGGAAUCUUCGGCAAUGGGGGCAACCCUGACCGAGCAACGCCGCGUGAGUGAAGAAGGUUUUCGGAUCGUAAAGCUCUGUUGUAAGUCAAGAACGAGUGUGAGAGUGGAAAGUUCACACUGUGACGGUAGCUUACCAGAAAGGGACGGCUAACUACGUGCCAGCAGCCGCGGUAAUACGUAGGUCCCGAGCGUUGUCCGGAUUUAUUGGGCGUAAAGCGAGCGCAGGCGGUUUGAUAAGUCUGAAGUUAAAGGCUGUGGCCCAACCAUAGUUCGCUUUGGAAACUGUCAAACUUGAGUGCAGAAGGGGAGAGUGGAAUUCCAUGUGUAGCGGUGAAAUGCGUAGAUAUAUGGAGGAACACCGGUGGCGAAAGCGGCUCUCUGGUCUGUAACUGACGCUGAGGCUCGAGAGCGUGGGGAGCGAACAGGAUUAGAUACCCUGGUAGUCCACGCCGUAAACGAUGAGUGCUAGGUGUUGGAUCCUUUCCGGGAUUCAGUGCCGCAGCUAACGCAUUAAGCACUCCGCCUGGGGAGUACGACCGCAAGGUUGAAACUCAAAGGAAUUGACGGGGGCCCGCACAAGCGGUGGAGCAUGUGGUUUAAUUCGAAGCAACGCGAAGAACCUUACCAGGUCUUGACAUCCCGAUGCUAUUUCUAGAGAUAGAAAGUUACUUCGGUACAUCGGUGACAGGUGGUGCAUGGUUGUCGUCAGCUCGUGUCGUGAGAUGUUGGGUUAAGUCCCGCAACGAGCGCAACCCCUAUUGUUAGUUGCCAUCAUUCAGUUGGGCACUCUAGCGAGACUGCCGGUAAUAAACCGGAGGAAGGUGGGGAUGACGUCAAAUCAUCAUGCCCCUUAUGACCUGGGCUACACACGUGCUACAAUGGUUGGUACAACGAGUUGCGAGUCGGUGACGGCAAGCUAAUCUCUUAAAGCCAAUCUCAGUUCGGAUUGUAGGCUGCAACUCGCCUACAUGAAGUCGGAAUCGCUAGUAAUCGCGGAUCAGCACGCCGCGGUGAAUACGUUCCCGGGCCU
rnacentral:rRNA from 1 species